rnacentral:rRNA from 1 species
AAAGUUGAAAUAGAACUUUGCAGAGAGAGUUAACAGGGCGUGAAACCGUUAAUUGGCAAACGAAUCGGAGCCACGAAGUCGUUUCGUUGAGUUGGGUUAGGUUCAGCUUAGGACGAGAGUCCUGGGUGUAUUCUUAGCUCGACCAUUGUAAGCGUACACUGCAACCAGUUAGACGAUUGGUGAUGGGCCCAGUUGAUUGAGGAUGCUUGCAUUCUCUUUUAACGCAGGACUUGUUUAUCCGGGUUAGUAGUAAUGUUGUACGCUUUCGGGUGUACAGUGUUGCUGGGCUCGUGAUAAGUGAACUAUCUACCAAAUACUGACUGGCAAAAUGAAAAUCGCCACUGUGCGUUUUAUAGAAUGCUGCGGCUGGUAUAGAUGCUUACAUGCUCAACCAUAGGGUUUUAAGCUCAGCAUCUUUGAAUUUAGACUUGCAUUCUACCAGUGGGGCAACUCCUGGUGUUUGUAUAGCUUCUAUCUAAUCGGGUGUUGACUUGAUCUUAUGUUGUUUGAGUAUGCUACGAUAGAGUGUUUAUACAAAGUUGUAAGCAAUUCAAUUGGCAGUGAGUAGGUCGGCUUUCCGAACGACCCGUCUUGAAACACGGACCAAGGAGUCUAAUUAGGCAUCAAGUCGAUCAGUCUUGAAUAGGCUAGACUGUUGGGAUUUAUCCCAACGAUUGAAGGCGUAGAGAAAUCAAAUCAUGUGAUCAUAUUGGGCAACAACAGCCCUUAUGCGCAACAUGUGCCUGUUCGUAUAGUAAUGUUAGCAAUAACUUACUGGGCGGAGCAAAGAGAUGCUUGAUUGGUACCCGAAAGAUGGUGAACUAUGCUUGGGCAAAUUGAAGCCAGAGGAAACUCUGGUGGAGGAUUGUAGCGAUUCUGACGUGCAAAUCGAUCGUCAGACCUGAGUAUAGGGGCGAAAGACUAAUCGAACCAUCUAGUAG